CUCUUAAAAGCUGUCUGGAUCCGUUGCUGCCUCCCUGUAAAUCGGCGAUCAUGUAAUUAGCCGACGAAGCACCGAGUCGUGUGCAGUUUGCCACGACGUUUUUGAGCGCCCAUUCGCGUCUGGCGACCACUAAUACAUUUGCACCUUGUUCGCAAAAUCUAUAGGCUAUCUGUUCACCUAUACCUGUGGAACCUCCGCAGAUCACGACAUUUUUACCACGAAAUGACUCGCUUGUCGGUGGCCGUCUUGUGUACCAGCGCCAGGCUAGAAUGGCUACGACGAAGGAGAGAAACUUCCAACUUGGCUUCAACAUUGUCAUUGUUGAUAAUACGCACACUGCAUGACUUGUAAAGAUAGC